CCCUUAGAUGUCCUGGGCCGCACGCGCGUUACACUGAUGCAUUCAACGAGCUUAUAACCUUGGCCGAGAGGCCUGGGCAAUCUUGUUAACGUGCAUCGUGAUAGGGAUAGAUUAUUGAAAUUAUUAAUCUUGAACGAGGAAUUCCUAGUAAACGCAGAUCAUCAAUCUGCAUUGAUUACGUCCCUGCCCUUUGUACACACCGCCCGUCGCACCUACCGAUUGGAUGGUCCGGUGAAGCCUCGGGAUUAUGGUUCUUGCCGCUUUAUUGUAGCGUGACCGCGAGAACUUGUCUAAACCUUAUCAUCUAGAGGAAGGUGAAGUCGUAACA
rnacentral:rRNA from 1 species